rnacentral:tRNA from 1 species
GGGGCUGUAGCUCAGCUGGGAGAGCGCGCGAAUGGCAUUCACGAGGUCAGGGGUUCGAUCCCCCUCAGCUCCA